AUUGAACGCUGGCGGCAGGUCUAACACAUGCAAGUCGAGCGAGCGGCGGACGGGUGAGUAAUGUAUGGGAAACUGCCUGAUGGAGGGGGAUAACUACGCGAAAGCGUAGCUAAUACCGCAUACUAUUGGAGCGACCGAUAUGGGAUUAGCUAGUGGGUGAGGUAAUGGCUCACCUAGGCGACGAUCCCUAGCUGGUCUGAGAGGAUGAUCAGCCACACUGGAACUGAGACACGGUCCAGACUCCUACGGGAGGCAGCAGUGGGGAAUAUUGCACAAUGGGCGCAAGCCUGAUACAGCCAUGCCGCGUGUGUGAAGAAGGCCUUCGGGUUGUAAAGCACUUUCAGCGGGGAGGCGUUACCCGCAGAAGAAGCACCGGCUAACUCCGUGCCAGCAGCCGCGGUAAUUC
rnacentral:rRNA from 1 species